rnacentral:rRNA from 1 species
UACGUAGGGUGCGAGCGUUAAUCGGAAUUACUGGGCGUAAAGCGUGCGCAGGCGGUUCGUUAAGUCAGAUGUGAAAGCCCCGGGCUCAACCUGGGAACUGCAUUUGAAACUGGCGGGCUUGAGUGUGGCAGAGGGGGGUGGAAUUCCGCGUGUAGCAGUGAAAUGCGCAGAUAUCAGGAGGGACACCGGUGGCGAAGGCGGGUCUCUGGGCCGAAACUGACGCUGAGGAGCGAAAGCAUGGGGAGCGAACAGGA